AGAAACUUAGGUUAAUACUGAACCGAGGGCCUUCAANGCCCGAAACAGAGGACAGCCCCCGCCCUAGAU
rnacentral:tRNA from 1 species